AAGUCGUAACAAGGUCUCCGUAGGUGAACCUGCGGAGGGAUCAUUACCGAGUGAGGGCCUCCGGGUCCGACCUCCAACCCUUUGUGAACACAUCCCGUUGCUUCGGGGGCGACCCUGCCGGGCGCCCCCGGAGGACCACACAACACUGCAUCUUUGCGUCGGAGUUUACGAGUAAAUCGAAACAAAACUUUCAACAACGGAUCUCUUGGUUCUG
rnacentral:misc_RNA from 1 species